rnacentral:rRNA from 1 species
CAGUAGCCGCGGUAAUACGGAGGGUGCAAGCGUUAAUCGGAAUUACUGGGCGUAAAGCGCACGCAGGCGGUCUGACAAGUCGGAUGUGAAAUCCCUGAGCUUAACUUAGGAAUUGCAUUCGAUACUGGGAAGCUAGAGUAUGGGAGAGGAUGGUAGAAUUCCAGGUGUAGCGGUGAAAUGCGUAGAGAUCUGGAGGAAUACCGAUGGCGAAGGCAGCCAUCUGGCCUAAUACUGACGCUGAGGUACGAAAGCAUGGGGAGCAAACAGGAUUAGAUACCCGCGUAGUCCCUGUCUCUUAUAA